rnacentral:lncRNA from 1 species
UUGCAUUGGAUUAUUCUGAUUUUGAUCGGAUUGGGGGGUUGUUAGUCAGUUUGGUUUCAGCUUGAAAUUAUACCCAUUUGAAUCUGGUUUAGAUAUCCAUCUUCCUUUGCACCUUGCUGGAUUUUGUUGUGAUUUUUGGUGUGCAGAGCUGAAUUGUUGGAAUCAUUAGUUUGAGCGGGAGUGUAACUUGGGUAUGCAGUAG